GACGAACGCUGGCGGCGUGCCUAAUACAUGCAAGUAGAACGCACAGUUUAUACCGUAGCUUGCUACACCAUAGACUGUGAGUUGCGAACGGGUGAGUAACGCGUAGGUAACCUGCCUGGUAGCGGGGGAUAACUAUUGGAAACGAUAGCUAAUACCGCAUAAUAUUAAUUAUUGCAUGAUAAUUAAUUGAAAGGUGCAAUUGCACCACUACCAGAUGGACCUGCGUUGUAUUAGCUAGUAGGUGAGGUAACGGCUCACCUAGGCGACGAUACAUAGCCGACCUGAGAGGGUGAUCGGCCACACUGGGACUGAGACACGGCCCAGACUCCUACGGGAGGCAGCAGUAGGGAAUCUUCGGCAAUGGACGAAAGUCUGACCGAGCAACGCCGCGUGAGUGAAGAAGGUUUUCGGAUCGUAAAGCUCGGUUGUAAGAGAAGAACGGGUGUGAGAGUGGAAAGUUCACACUGUGACGGUAUCGUACCAGAAAGGGACGGCUAACUACGUG
rnacentral:rRNA from 1 species